rnacentral:rRNA from 1 species
UACGGGGGGGGCAAGCGUUGUUCGGAAUUACUGGGCGUAAAGGGCUCGUAGGCGGCCAACUAAGUCAGACGUGAAAUCCCUCGGCUUAACCGGGGAACUGCGUCUGAUACUGGAUGGCUUGAGUUUGGGAGAGGGAUGCGGAAUUCCAGGUGUAGCGGUGAAAUGCGUAGAUAUCUGGAGGAAUACCGGUGGCGAAGGCGGCAUCCUGGACCGGCAUUGACGCUGAGGAGCGAAAGCCAGGGGAGCAAACAGG